ensembl:lncRNA
CCUGUUCUGGUGCAGUUCUUAAAGAAAAAGAAGAAAAGAAGUAAAGAAAAAAGAAGAAAAUGCAUUAGGUUGAACCAUAACUUGGAGAGAUCUGAAAGCCACUAACAGAUGGGCGUUUUUCAUCAUGAAGUGGUGUUUUUUAAAGAAUGUAAAUAUUUAUGUUGCUGGUGGUAUAGGACUCGAUUUUAAAAUUGAUAGAAGAGGAAUUUUUUGUAAUCAAACAAGUUCCUGUUUCUGCUCUGAAAAUAAAGGGAAAUCUUCAAGAGUGAGGAUUACUGAGGUAAUGAAGAUGGGAUUCUACUCAUGCUUUUCAAAAUACUAUUAAUGUCAUUCCUGAUCUCCAAUUGAAAUAAAUCUACUGACUCCUGAUAGACUGUAUUCAUUCCUUUUGGAGCUGUAAAAC